UUGACCAUGGAGAAGGAGACGGGAGUCCUAGAGCGACCGUCGGUCCCGGAAACGAGAGGCCGUAUCCUAGCGUGGCGGGGGUGGGGUAUGAAUGAGAAACGGAACCUUCUAGCAGCUGUAUUUGACAAAAGAGACACGGAACUCUAAAGCGACGGAUAUGGGAAACGAGACGCGCGACCCUAGAACAACCAACAGUGGGGAACGAGAGGCAGAGUCCUAGAGAGGCAGGUCUUGGGGAACGAAAUACGGAACCCCAGUCGGCUGAUUUUGGCAAAGGAGAGGUGGAACCCAAAAGCGGCCGGACAUGGUAAACGAGACUCAGAAUCCUAGAACGACUGGGAACGGGGAAAUCAGUGGCUGAACCCUCGAGCCGUCCGAUUUGACAGGAUACACGGAACUCUAAAGGAGGUCGACAUGGGAAUCGAGACGCGGAAUCCUAGAGCGUUCGGCGAUGGGGGACAAACGAGACGCAGCAUCCUAGAGUGGCGAGUUGAGGGAGGGGGCGGCGGAGUGAGAAACGAGUGGUGGAAUCCUAGACUGGGGCGGGCAAAAUGAGGGGCGGAACCCUCGAGAGACCAGAUUUGACAACGCGCGGAAUCCUAACGCGGCCGAACAUGGGAAACGAGAUGCAGAGUCCUAGAGGGACCGGUUGAGGAAGGGAAACGAGACGCGGCGUCCUGGAGUUAAAUUGGAGGGAGAAAGUUUCCAACAAAUGCAGGAAUCCAGACAAAUGCAGAAAUCCACAGCAAGGGAAACCCUCCAAAGGCCCUAUUGCCGACUCUAGUACCAGGAGACCCUACACCGAGGGAGGUUUUUAACUGACGCCAGGAACUUUGCUACCAGUGCUUGAGGCCCUUGUGAGCACGAAAGAGCAGACUCUGAAGCUGCUGGUGCUGGAGCAUUUAUGUCCUUGAGUCCUGGGGAGCUGCAGGGUGGGUGCAGGAACACUGUCCAGAGAGUGCGGUCGAAGCUGUGAUUUUGCUGAAGGACCUGGAGGAGUUCGAUAAACCCCACCAUGAGUAAGCUGCAGAUGCUGACAAGAAGUCCUCUCUAAAGAGACAGUGCCUCUGGGAGGAUCUAUGUCACUGAGACUUCACUCCCAGCCUAAGGAGCCCCAUGUCACCUGUGACCCUCUCAGGAGACCCACCCUAUUAGAGAGACAGCUGUUAUGUGUCUAAAUACCAUACAGGAGAAAGGAAAAGAACAGCAUGGCUGAAGGCUUCAAAUGAAAAAUAAAACUGUCAUAUUUAUACUCCACUUGGGUCAGACUUGGAGCUGAGCUGCACCCUCCACAACUAGACUGAAGGACAACUUGCCUUGGAGCUGAUGGGUCCUGGAAAAACACAAUGUUCCCCAAUAAAAAUUUUAAAAAUAAAAAAAAUAAACCAGUAAAACAUCUAUUCUCACUUAGUCCUUCAAACAACUUGAUAAAGUGCAUAUCAGUUGCCAUUUAACAGUUUCCAUUUAAGAAACUGCACCUCAGAGAAUGUGUAUUAGUUAUCUAUUGAUGAGGACCAAAUUACCUCAAAGUUUAAUCGGUAAUUUAGUAUCCAUUGCUACGGUAUAAUCUCCACGACAGCCUUACGUUUGAAUCUUUAAUCCAUUUUGAAUUUAUUUUUGUAGGUGUUGUAAGAUAGUGCCUGUUUCAUUCUUUUGCAUGUGGCUGUCCAGUUUUCCUUGCAGCAUUGGUUGUCGUUACCCUAUUGUAUAUUCUUGGCUCCUCUGUUGUAAGUUAACUGAGCAUAAUAUAUGCAUGAGUUUAUGUCUGGGCUCUAUUCUGUUUCAUUGAUCUGUGUGUCAGUUUUUCUGUCAAUACCAUACUGUUUUGAUGCAGGUACAGUUUUUAAACCACUGUAGAAGAUACCUGUCCCAAGUUCACUCAGCUGCUGAAUGGCAAAAACAAAACAAAAAACCCAGGUGCUAAA